rnacentral:rRNA from 1 species
UGGUGGAGUGAUUUGUCUGCUUAAUUGCGAUAACGAACGAGACCUUAACCUGCUAAAUAGCCAGGCUAGCUUUGGCUGGUCGCCGGCUUCUUAGAGGGACUGUCAGCGUCUAGCUGACGGAAGUUUGAGGCAAUAACA